GCGGGAAUAGCUCAGCGGUAGAGCACUGCCUUGCCAAGGCAGGGGUCGCGAGUUCGAAUCUCGUUUCCCGCUCCA
rnacentral:tRNA from 1 species